CCGCCGCCGCCCCUUCUCCCACUACUCAAGAACCCACCGCCUCUGUAUCUUGCCUGUUCCUGGGCGAUUUUGGAAAGGCUAUAUAGAGGAUCACUUUUCCCAUCGAAAAUCAAGAAACUGUGAGUCAAUUUAUUGGAAAAAUCAAAGCACUCCAUCCAUCCAUUCUGGUCAUUUUCUCCAAGAACACCAUAAUGGUGGACGGAGAAAUGAUGGCGAACAAGUCG
rnacentral:lncRNA from 1 species